UGGGGAAUAUUGCACAAUGGGCGCAAGCCUGAUGCAGCCAUGCCGCGUGUAUGAAGAAGGCCUUCGGGUUGUAAAGUACUUUCAGCGGGGAGGAAGGGAGUAAAGUUAAUACCUUUGCUCAUUGACGUUACCCGCAGAAGGAGCACCGGCUAACUCCGUGCCAGCAGCCGCGGUAAUACGGAGGGUGCAAGCGUUAAUCGGAAUUACUGGGCGUAAAGCGCACGCAGGCGGUUUGUUAAGUCAGAUGUGAAAUCCUCGGGCUCAACCUGGGAGCUGCAUCUGAUACUGGCAAGCUUGAGUCUCGUAGAGGGGGGUAGAAUUCCAGGUGUAGCGGUGAAAUGCGUAGAGAUCUGGAGGAAUACCGGUGGCGAAGGCGGCCCCCUGGACGAAGACUGACGCUCAGGUGCGAAAGCGUGGGGAGCAAACAGG
rnacentral:rRNA from 1 species